GACGGACGCUGGCGGCGUGCUUAACACAUGCCAGUCGAACGGAAAGGCCCUGCUUUUGUGGGGUGCUCGAGUGGCGAACGGGUGAGUAACACGUGAGUAACCUGCCCUUGACUUUGGGAUAACUUCAGGAAACUGGGGCUAAUACCGGAUAGGAGCUCCUGCUGCAUGGUGGGGGUUGGAAAGUUUCGGCGGUUGGGGAUGGACUCGCGGCUUAUCAGCUUGUUGGUGGGGUAGUGGCUUACCAAGGCUUUGACGGGUAGCCGGCCUGAGAGGGUGACCGGCCACAUUGGGACUGAGAUACGGCCCAGACUCCUACGGGAGGCAGCAGUGGGGAAUAUUGAACAAUGGGCGGAAGCCUGAUGCAGCAACGCCGCGUGCGGGAUGACGGCCUUCGGGUUGUAAACCGCUUUCGCCUGUGACGAAGCGUGAGUGACGGUAAUGGGUAAAGAAGCACCGGCUAACUACGUG
rnacentral:rRNA from 1 species